AUCAGUGGCGAACGGGUGAGUAACACGUGAGCAACCUGCCCCAGACUUCGGGAUAAGCCUUGGAAACGAGGUCUAAUACUGGAUAUGAGGUCACAUCGCAUGGUGUGGUCUGGAAAGAUUUAUCGGUCUGGGAUGGGCUCGCGGCCUAUCAGCUUGUUGGUGGGGUAGUGGCCUACCAAGGCGACGACGGGUAGCCGGCCUGAGAGGGCGACCGGCCACACUGGGACUGAGACACGGCCCAGACUCCUACGGGAGGCAGCAGUGGGGAAUAUUGCACAAUGGGCGCAAGCCUGAUGCAGCGACGCCGCGUGAGGGAUGAAGGCCUUCGGGUUGUAAACCUCUUUCAGCAGGGAAGAAGCGCAAGUGACGGUACCUGCAGAAGAAGCGCCGGCUAACUACGUGCCAGCAGCCGCGGUAAUACGUAGGGCGCAAGCGUUGUCCGGAAUUAUUGGGCGUAAAGAGCUCGUAGGCGGUCUGUCGCGUCUGGUGUGAAAACUCAAGGCUCAACCUUGAGCUUGCAUCGGGUACGGGCAGACUAGAGUGCGGUAGGGGAGACUGGAAUUCCUGGUGUAGCGGUGGAAUGCGCAGAUAUCAGGAGGAACACCGAUGGCGAAGGCAGGUCUCUGGGCCGCAACUGACGCUGAGGAGCGAAAGCAUGGGGAGCGAACAGGAUUAGAUACCCUGGUAGUCCAUGCCGUAAACGUUGGGCACUAGGUGUGGGGCUCAUUCCACGAGUUCCGUGCCGCAGCAAACGCAUUAAGUGCCCCGCCUGGGGAGUACGGCCGCAAGGCUAAAACUCAAAGGAAUUGACGGGGGCCCGCACAAGCGGCGGAGCAUGCGGAUUAAUUCGAUGCAACGCGAAGAACCUUACCAAGGCUUGACAUACACCGGAAACUUCCAGAGAUGGUUGCCCCGCAAGGUCGGUGUACAGGUGGUGCAUGGUUGUCGUCAGCUCGUGUCGUGAGAUGUUGGGUUAAGUCCCGCAACGAGCGCAACCCUCGUCCUAUGUUGCCAGCACGUGAUGGUGGGGACUCAUAGGAGACUGCCGGGGUCAACUCGGAGGAAGGUGGGGAUGACGUCAAAUCAUCAUGCCCCUUAUGUCUUGGGCUUCACGCAUGCUACAAUGGCCGGUACAAAGGGCUGCGAUACCGUAAGGUGGAGCGAAUCCCAAAAAGCCGGUCUCAGUUCGGAUUGGGGUCUGCAACUCGACCCCAUGAAGUCGGAGUCGCUAGUAAUCGCAGAUCAGCAACGCUGCGGUGAAUACGUUCCCGGGCCUUGUACACACCGCCCGUCAAGUCACGAAAGUCGGUA
rnacentral:rRNA from 1 species